rnacentral:rRNA from 1 species
AGUGAACGCUGGCGGUAGGCCUAACACAUGCAAGUCGAACGGCAGCACAGGAGAGCUUGCUCUCUGGGUGGCGAGUGGCGGACGGGCGAGGAAUACAUCGGAAUCUACUCUGUCGUGGGGGAUAACGUAGGGAAACUUACGCUAAUACCGCAUACGACCUACGGGAGAAAGCAGGGGACCUUCGGGCCUUGCGCGAUUGAAUGAGCCGAUGUCGGAUUAGCUAGUUGGCGAGGUAAAGGCCCACCAAGGCGACGACCCGUAGCUGGUCUGAGGGGAUGAUCAGCCACACUGGAACUGAGAGACGGUCCAGACUCCUACGGGAGGCAGCAGGGGGGAAUAUUGGACAAUGGGCGCAAGCCUGAUCCAGCCAUACCGCGUGGGUGAAGAAGGCCUUCGGGUUGUAAAGCCCUUUUGUUGGGAAAGAAAUCCAGCUGGCUAAUACCCGGUUGGGAUGACGGUACCCAAAGGAUAAGCACCGGCUAACUUCGUGCCAGCCGCCGCCGUAA